rnacentral:rRNA from 1 species
UACGUAGGGUGCAAGCGUUAAUCGGAAUUACUGGGCGUAAAGCGUGCGCAGGCGGUUCGCUAAGACCGAUGUGAAAUCCCCGGGCUUAACCUGGGAACUGCAUUGGUGACUGGCGGGCUAGAGUAUGGCAGAGGGGGGUAGAAUUCCACGUGUAGCAGUGAAAUGCGUAGAGAUGUGGAGGAAUACCGAUGGCGAAGGCAGCCCCCUGGGCCAAUACUGACGCUCAUGCACGAAAGCGUGGGGAGUAAACAGG